AUACGACCGUACCGCAAACCGACACUGGUGCGCGAGAUGAGUAUUCUAAGGCGCUUGAGAGAACUCAGGAGAAGGAACUCGGCAAAUUGACACCGUAACUUCGGAAGAAGGUGUGCCCUAUUAGUGUGUAGUGAACAACGAAGCAUGAAUGGGUUGCAAAAAAUCGGUGGCUGCGACUGUUUAUUAAAAACACAGCACUCUGCAAACACGAAAGUGGACGUAUAGGGUGUGACGCCUGCCCGGUGCUGGAAGAUUAAAUGAUGGGGUGCAAGCUCUUGAUUGAAGUCCCAGUAAACGGCGGCCGUAACAAUAACGGUCCUAAGGUAGCGAAAUUCCUUGUCGGGUAAAUUCCGACCUGCACGAAUGGCGUAACGAUGGCCACACUGUCUCCUCCUGAGACUCAGCGAAGUUGAAAUGUUUGUGAUGAUGCAAUCUCCCCGCGGAAAGACGGAAAGACCCCAUGAACCUUUACUGUAGCUUUGUAUUGGACUUUGAACAGAUCUGUGUAGGAUAGGUGGGAGGCUUUGAAGCAGGGUCGCUAGAUCUUGUGGAGCCAACGUUGAAAUACCACCCUGGUGUGUUUGAGGUUCUAACCUAGGUCCAUUAUCUGGAUCGGGGACAGUGCAUGGUAGGCAGUUUGACUGGGGCGGUCUCCUCCCAAAGCGUAACGGAGGAGUUCGAAGGUACGCUAGUUACGGUCGGACAUCGUGACGAUAGUGCAAUGGCAUAAGCGUGCUUAACUGCGAGACUGACAAGUCGAGCAGAUGCGAAAGCAGGACAUAGUGAUCCGGUGGUUCUGUAUGGAAGGGCCAUCGCUCAACGGAUAAAAGGUACUCUGGGGAUAACAGGCUGAUACCGCCCAAGAGUUCAUAUCGACGGCGGUGUUUGGCACCUCGAUGUCGGCUCAUCUCAUCCUGGGGCUGUAGCCGGUCCCAAGGGUAUGGCUGUUCGCCAUUUAAAGAGGUACGUGAGCUGGGUUUAAAACGUCGUGAGACAGUUUGGUCCCUAUCUUCCGUGGGCGCUGCAGAUUUGAGGAAGCCUGCUCCUAGUACGAGAGGACCGGAGUGGACACACCUCUGGUGUAUCGGUUGUCACGCCAGUGGCAUUGCCGAGUAGCUAAGUGUGGAAGAGAUAACCGCUGAAAGCAUCUAAGCGGGAAACUCGUUUCAAGAUGAGAUCUGCCGGGGCCUUGAGCCCCCUAAAGAGUCGUUCAAGACCAGGACGUUGAUAGGUCAGGUGUGGAAGUG
rnacentral:rRNA from 1 species